CUGCUGCAUAAAUCAUAGGGGAUUAGCUCCUUGUGAGGAGGGAGAGACAAGAAUAUCAAACCCGCAGUGUAAAUGUGCUUAAGGAGGAGGCCACCGUAGUAUUCUCUCACGCUCCUUGGGAAAUAAGUGACCUGUCAGCAGGCAGCUCUAUAUUAGCUGAUUCCUUAGGUAUGCAAGUUAUCUAAAAACAGUCGUUCCCUAAUCUGCUCUCAUCUGUUCCAGGUUAUGGGAGUUCAUAAAUCCAUGUACGUUUGACGCUAAUGGAAAAUCUGCGUCGUGACUCCCUGGAGUGACCCAAGUGUGUGACAGUAACAAGCAAGCUAUGCAUUGCUUGUUUUGCCCACAGAAUACAAGUGAGGAGGAAUAAAAGAGAGAGAAAGGAAAGAAGUCAAUAAGAUGGCAGCACUCACACCUGUCCUGCCCGAACCAACCUCCUUUCCCAGCAGCAGGCUCGCGCUGCAAGGCACCCCCAGACAACAGCCACAGCUGCUGGGUGACACUGGUCACUUGUUGCAAUGCUCUGACUAGGCAUAAAGAGUGGUUUCAGACAGCUGGAAAUGCAAAGACCUGAGGGGAUGGGAAGCAUUUGCCCUAAUGCUUCCAGUGCAUCAACCCCUCCCCACCAAGGAGGGGCUUUAUGUCAGGAAGCUCUUGAAGAGUGCAAUCUUGUGAUGCCCGAAUUGUCUGAAAAUACACAAUCAACAGCAAGUUUUGACCGGAAAGCAAGGUCUCCCGAGGGGAACCUGUGUGAUGCUUGGUUGUACUUGUGCAGAACGCUGCCUGUGAUUUCUGGGAAAGAAGAGGAGGAACCUGGCGCAAAGUCCAAAAGGACAUUCAUCUUUAUUUUACUGAUGAGUUCCAAUCUACAACCAAAAGCAGCUUCACUUCUUGACCCCAGAGCUGCCUGGCCACCUCAGCAUCCCAAGAAUAUGAGAGCCCAUGGGAAUGCACAAAAACAGUGAUCAGCAGGAGACAGGCUUGAGGCAGGAGAAGGGUGAGAGGAGAAGACCUUAUCACUCUCUAUGACCACCUGAAAGGAGGUUGUGUCUAGGUGGGGGUUGGCCCCUUCUCCCAGGUAACAGGGAUAGAAAGAGAGGAAAUGGACCCAAGUUGCACAAGGGGAGGUUCAGGUUGGAUGUUAAGAAACAUUUCUUCUCAGAAAGAACAGUGAGGCAGUGGCACAGGCUGCCCAGGGAGGUGGGGGAUUCCCUGUCCCCAGAGGUGUUCAAGAACUGUGUGGAUGUGGAACUGAGGGACAUGGGCAGUGGGCACUGUGGGGAUGGACUGGUGGUUGGACUGGGUGAUCUUAGAGGUCUUUUCCAACCUUAAUGAUUCUAUUCUAUGACUGGUAUGAGGGCUGGGAGAGGAGGUGAACUUCAGGGGAAGCGAGUGUUCCUUGGAAAGGGUUAUCUUAAAGAUGUUACAAAUAAUUCCUUCUUCUGCACAAUCUUUUCACAUUUGUUGUAAAGCAGAGCCCAGUUGCCUCAGCAAGGAAGCCAAGGCUGUGUCAUGGCCGAUAGAGCCAUUCAUUGAGUCAGGCUUUUUAAAUGACAGAAGUUUAGCUUUUUCUGCAACCAGUAUUCAUUGCAAGUAUUUUUCCAGGCUGUGGUAUACUGCAAGCCAGCAGAAGUUGCACCAAAGGAAUCCUUUAGGAUCUGUUGUUAUUCGAGUUCUUUCAUAGAUUUCUAUAAUCUAAAAUUUGAGACAGACUCCUCCAAUUAACUCUUCUCCUGUAACUGAACAUACCAGGGAGCCCCAAGGCUUCAAUAUGAUUUUCAUAAAGAAACCUACCCAGAAUAAGUAUAAUUGCAACCUAAGCUUAUUGUUCACAAUGGCCUGCCCUAUGGCUGGUAACUCACACAGUUAAAACUCUUAUAUUUUUUUCAAGAAAACAGAUGAAUGUGGAAAGGGAAGGGAAGGGAAGGGAAGGGAAGGGAAGGGAAGGGAAGGGAA
rnacentral:lncRNA from 1 species